GUUGUUCGGAAUUACUGGGCGUAAAGGGCUCGUAGGUGGCCAACUAAGUCAGACGUGAAAUCCCUCGGCUUAACCGGGGAACUGCGUCUGAUACUGGAUGGCUUGAGUUUGGGAGAGGGAUGCGGAAUUCCAGGUGUAGCGGUGAAAUGCGUAGAUAUCUGGAGGAACACCGGUGGCGAAGGCGGCAUCCUGGACCAACACUGACACUGAGGAGCGAAAGCCAGGGGAGCAAACGGG
rnacentral:rRNA from 1 species